rnacentral:rRNA from 1 species
UUUUCUGGUUAAUUUUUGAGAAGUAAAAGUCGUAACAAGGUUUCCGUAGGUGAACCUGCGGAAGGAUCAUUAUUGAGUUCUUUGAAGUGGGGAAGGUUGUCUUGCAUUUCUCUCACUCUUGGGGUUUACCUCUGAUGCUGGUAAUAAAAUCUGUUGCAAUGUGCUUGAGGUCUUUCUUUUAAGGGCUGAGAGAGCAAAAUGGCUCACCUGCUUUUUGAGGUUGCUCAUGUUUCUUCAACACCUGUGCACUUAUAAGCAAAGUUUAUUCCUACAAGUUGUCUAUGUGAUUUUUGGCAUGUACUUGUUGUGUGAAUUCACCACAUAUAUAUGCGCAUAUAUUCACAAAAAAGAUGGCUAGGUAGUAGUGGCUUUGUCUUUAUAUAAACUCUUGUAAUUUGUCUUGUACAAUGAGAAGUGGCUCAAUUAUGAGCAGAAAAUUUAUACAACUUUCAACAAUGGAUCUCUUGGCUCUUGCAUCGAUGAAGAACGCAGCGAAAUGCGAUAAGUAAUGUGAAUUGCAGAAUUCAGUGAAUCAUCGAAUCUUUGAACACACCUUGUGCUCCUUGGGUUACCUAUGGAGCAUGCCUGUUUGAGUGUCAUGUUAAUCUCAAUUCCCCUGUUCAGGGGUAUUGGAUUUGGAGGGUUUCAUUGCAGGUCCCCCUUAUAGGGGAAUCAGCUCCUCUUAAAGAUAUUAGCUGAAGGAUGAAGCAGAAUGGCUCCUUAGCAUUAUUCAUUGGCUAUGGUGUAAUAGUUGUUUCAUCAUGGUAUCAUGUGCAAAUGGGGCUUUUGCAGCAUUCUUUGCUCCCUACAUUACCAGAUCUAUCUGAUAAUGUAUGUCAUUUCUCUUUGGCCUCAAAUCAGGUAGGACUACCCGCUGAACUUAAGCAUAUCAUUAAGCGGAGGAAAAGAAACUAACAAGGAUUCCCCUAGUAACUGCGAGUGAAGCGGGAAGAGCUCAAAUUUAAAAUCUGGCAGCUCUGCUGUCCGAGUUGUAAUCUGUAGAAGCAUUUUCCCUGCACUGGACCUGACCAAAAUUUCCCGGAA